rnacentral:lncRNA from 1 species
CACCUCCCGGACGGGGCGGCUGGCCUGGCGGGGCUGACCCCCACCUCCCUCCCGGAUGGGGUGGCUGCCGGGCAGAGACGCUCCUCACUUCCCAGACGGGGUCACGGCCGGGUAGAGGCGCUCCUCACAUCCCAGACGGGGCGGCGGGGCAGAGGCGCUCCCCACAUCUCAGACGAUGGGCAGCCGGGCAGAGACGCUCCUCACUUCCUAGAUGGGAUGGCGGCCAGGCAGAGGCUGCAAUCUCGGCACUUUGGGAGGCCAAGGCAGGCGGCUGGGAGGUGGAGGUUGUAGCGAGCCGAGAUCACGCCACUGCACUCCAGCCUGGGCACCAUUGAGCACUGAGUGAACCAGACUCCGUCUGCAAUCCCGGCACCUCGGGAGGCCGGAGGCCGAGGCUGGCGGAUCACUCGCAGUUAGGAGCUGGAGACCAGCCCGGCCAACACAGCGAAACCCCGUCUCCACCAAAAAAAUACGAAAACCAGUCAGGCGUGGUGGCGCGCCUGCAAUCGCAGGCACUCGGCAGGCUGAGGCAGGAGAAUCAGGCAGGGAGGCUGCAGUGAGCCGAGAUGGCAGCAGUACAGUCCAGCUUCGGCUCGGCAUCAGUGGGAGACGGUGGAAAGAGAGGGAGAGGGAGACUGUGGGGAGAGGGAGAGGGAGAGGGGGGAGAGGGAGAGGGAGAGGGAGGAGCCAUAAUUCUUGUAUUUGGAAUCAGUCUAGUUCCCAAGAACUUCAGUUUGAUGCUCUUCAAGUUCUACCUUCACUAUAGGAUGUGGUUUUCAAGAUGAAAGUUACGACCCACCAAUGGGUUUUGAAAUAAAUUUAGUAGGCCACAACCAGUAUUUUUUUUAACAAAGGAAUCGAAUAGAAAAGAAAGUAUCAGGAUAUAUAACACAUGGCAAGGAUGAUAAUAUGUAAAACUUUGGUUUCAAAGACAAUAUGUGUGUCUAUUUAUAUAUCUAUUUCACACCAUAUAUGCUGACCUACACACCUACAUGUUUGUGUGUACUUGGUUAUGAUAAAAAUUCAUUAAAUGAUGGUAAAAAAAAGUUUGAAAAAACAAAUAAUUCAAUCUAAAAAUGAGAAAAGAAUCUCAAUAGACAUCUCUCAAAAGAAGGCCUACAAAUGGUCAACAAGAAUAUGAAAACAUGUUCAACAUCUCUAUUAGGGAAAUGUAAAUUAAAAUCACAUGAAAUAUCAUCCAACUCCCAUUAGAAUGGCUGCCAUCAGAAAAACAAAAUAACAACAGCAACAACAACAAAAAUCGAAUGUUGGUGAGGAUGUGGAGAAAAGGAAAUUCUUAUAUUACAUUCUUGGUAAGAAUGUAAAUUAGUACAGCCAUUAUAGAAAACAAUAUGGAGGUUUCUCAAAAACCUAAAAAUAUAACUACCAUAUGAUUCAGCAAUCCCACUACUUCCCCAAAGGGAAGGAAAUCAAUAUAUGGAAAAGACAUCUGCACUCCCAUGUUUAUUCCAGCACUAUUCACAAUAGCCAAGGUAUGGAGUCAACCUAAAUGUCCAUCAACAGAAGAAUGAAUAAAGAAAAUGUGGCAUGUAUACACAAUGGAGUACUAUUCAGCCAUAUAAAAGGAAUGAAAUUGGUUGGGGGGGCAUGGUGGCUUACGCCUGUAAUAGCAGCACUUUGGGAGGCCGAGGUGGGAGGAUCACCUGAGGUCAGGAGUUCAAGACCAACCUGACCAACGUGGAGAAACCCCAUCUCUACUAAAAAUACACAAUUAGCCAGGCGUGGUGGCACAUGCCUGUAAUCCCAGCUACUCGGGAGGCUGAGGCAGGAGAAUCACUUGAACCUGGGAGGCAGAGGUUGCGGUGAGCCGAGAUCACACCAUUGCACUCCAGCCUGGGCGACAAGAGCGAAACUCCGUCUCAGAAAAAAAAAAAGGAAUGAAAUCCUGAAUCCCGUCAUUUGUGACAACAUGGAUGAGCUUGGAGGACAUUAUGGUAAGUGAAAUAAACCAGGAACAGAAAAUAAAUACUGCAUGUUCUCUCUCAUACAUGAGAGCUAAAAAAAAGUUGGUGUCUAAGAAGCAGAGAGUAGACUAGUGGUUAUUAGAGGCUGGGAAGCAUAGUGGAGAGGUUGGUUAACAGACUUAACAGACACAAAAUUACAGAUAGAUAGGGGAAUAAGUUCUAAGUGUUCUAUAGAACUGUAGAGUGAAUAUAGUUAACAAUAUUUUAUUGUAUAUUUUUAAAAAUCUAGAAGAGAGGAUUUUGAACGUUCCCAACACAAAGAAAAGAUGAAUGUUUGCGGUAAUAGAUACGUCAAUUACCCUGAUUUGGUUAUUACGCAUUAUAUACAUGUAUUCAAAUAGUGCUCUGUAUCCCAUAACAUGUACAAUUAUUAUAUGUCAACUAAAAAUAAAAGAAAAAACAUUUGAAGGCUUGUGCUGUAUGUUUUGAGCCAUUCUAAUGCCUGAAUCACUUACAAAGAGAUGCAGAGCGUGAUGAAGCUAGUCUGUACUGGGAAAAGAAAUGGCUAGAGCCAAAAAAAGAAAGGGACUUAUGGAAGCAAACUCACAGUGGCUACUCUGCUCCCUACCAUUGCCUCUGACGAGUUGAGGUCCCCAGGAGGUCUCCUCAUACACAUCGUUCUUCCCUGAUUGCCUGUGAGAUAACUCUUUCCUUUCUUUCCUAUCUGUAUACACAGCAUGAGUUUCCAUAAGCUAAAUGGGACAUAACAUGAUUGAUUAACUAGGGGACAUGUGUAGACCCUCUUCUGACCCAUACAGAAGUAGAGUGUGUGGGCAGAGAGAAAGGCCUGUUGUGUAAGUGCCACAGCCUCUUUGUUGUGCUAAAAGCAAUGGAAAUGUCUAAGAAGUAUUGUGAUGGCCUAAGACGUCAUUCUUGAGCAAGAGCUAGAUGGAAUCACAUGCCAUAUUUUUACGUUUACAAUUUCAGUGUUCUAGCUAUAUACUUAAAACUAUAAACAAUGCUUUUGUUACAGAGAUUCCUGCAGUCCCCAUGCCCCUCUUUUUUUUGUUAACUGAAACAAAAGUAUGUAUAAUGCUGUUUUUGUUAAAGUAAGGUUGCCUGGGCACACCACCCUCACAUCAUUGCAGAACGCACUAAACUAGAGCCUGCCGUCGUUUGGGCCAACCCAACGGAAUUGCUCUCCCUUGUAAUCAUAAGGACCUAAAACUGAACAGACUAUCCAAACUAUAUAUCUUUAGAUCAAGGAAGAAUGGUGAUUCUUACUUUCUUUUGGCUCUAUGGUAAGUAUCUGGUUGUAAAGUCUGAGGGCAUCCUAAGGGAAAAUAUUGUGUCCAGUGUAACUGUGGUUUUGAUCCUAUAGUUUUUUCUUUCUUUUUUUUUUCUUCAGUGUGUCAGAAUCUAGCUAUCAAGUUGAAAUAGGUUAAUCUGAUCUUAUCACCAGCAGACGCAUCUCAGUCAUCUGGAAGAAAGUGCUGUUACAAGAAGUAACUCUGGGUAUGCGCUUCAGGAAUGCAGUUGUGGAAACCAUGUUUGCGGCUGCUUUAAACUGUUUCCCAGGAGUCAAGGAAAAUUCAACAAUCUGAGACCAAAAAGGUAUCUUCGGCACAGUCUUCCUUGGCACAGCCGUGGAGAACAGAGCCAGGGCUUUGAGUCAGAGGAAUUGGGUUGAAACCUGCCUGUAUUGGUUGCAACCUGGUGACCUUGGAUAUCCUUUUUAUUCUCUGAGCCUUAUAUACCCCCUGGAUAAAAUAUAUCUGAUGAAACCUGCUGUUGCAUGUUCUGGGAUUUAAAUGAAUAACACCGUACCUAAAGCAUUUGGUGCAGGGUUAGGACGUGUAGAAGCUUAAGUUGUUAUUCUUCUUCUUAACAUUUUCCUGGAACUCCGGUGAGGCUCCCCGAGCAUGGGACUUUUUAGCUCCGUCUGACGACUGAUCCCUGCAGUUAACUGAUCAUUCUACAAAGCCACCAUUUGCUGAAUCCAUUGCCAAAGAAUCGAUACAGGUGAUAUCUCAGCCCAAGCUGCUAUAUCAAAAUACUAUUGACUGAGUGGCUUAAGCCACAGACAUUUAUUUCUUACAGUUGUGGAGGCUGGGAAGCCCAAGAUGAAAGUGCUGGCAGAUCCUGUGUCUAGUGAGGGCUGUCUUCCUGGUUGGCAGAUAGCCGUCUUCUUGCUGUAUCCUCGCAUGGUGGAGAGAGAGAUCUCAUGUUUCUCCAUUUCUUUAAUGAGGGCAUUCAGCCCAUCAUGAGGGCCCCACCCUCACCCUCAUGACUUAAUCUAACCCAGCCCCUACCUCCAAGUACCAUGAGGGUUAGGGUUUCAGCAUAUAAAUUGAGGGGAGGAAGACACAAACACUUAGUCUAUAGCAGGUGAAUUGGCUGCUUCCAUCCUGGCUUGGAACUUCAGACAUAGAAGCCUUGGGACUUUCUCAGGACUUUCUCCAGAUCUGACUCAUGCUCAGCAAACAAGCAUCUCUGUGGAUCACGUGACCUUAGCCAGGGAUGUUGGUGAAACUGUGUGUUGGUCUAGGUACCUAGCCCAUGCUAGGUGCUCAUCGAAUAGCUUUAGUGGGUGACUGUGACUGAAGAGGCAUCCUGGGCUGUGCUUUCACACCACCAGUGCCAAUGCUAUGCAUUUGCUCUUUUUCUAGCAUUUUUUUUUUUUUUUUUUUUUGAGAUGGAAUCUUGCUCUGUCUCCCAGGCUGGAGUGCAGUGGCAUGAUCUUGGCUCACUGCAACCUCUGCCUCCCAGGUUCAAGCAAUUCUCCUGCCUCAGUCUCCCAAGUAGCUGGGAUUACAGAUGUGCACUACCAUGCCCUACUGAUUUUUGUAUUUUUAGUAGAGACGGGGUUUCACCGUGUUGGCCAGGCUGGUCUUGAACUCCCGACCUUAGGUGAUCCACCCACCUCGGCCUCCCAAAGUGCUGGGAUUACAGGCAUGAGCCACCGUGCCUGGCCUUUAGGAUGUUUAUAUGCUCUCUAUGCACCAUGAUAUUUGCGCCCUGGCGGAGCAGUCUCAGUUCCACUUCUGAGCUGGGAUGAGUAUUUAGCUCCUUCCCCAUCUGAUGCGAACUAGGCAACACUACAGAGCCAGAGGCAGAAAACAGGAGGGCUUCUCACCUGUCCUUGUCCAUGAAUAGCCAGUGCUCUGCUGAGGACUCCAGGAACCCACUCUUCAUGAUCAGCCUCAAUUGGCAGUGGCCAUCUCCUCUGGCAGCAAGCACAAGUGGACUUCUCUUCCUGCCCACAUCUGCUAGAUGAGGGUGACCCUCUGGAGAGAGGCUGGGAGAAGCUAGCCAGCCUGUAACCAGUGGGCUAGUGUGUGUACAUAUUGUAUGCAUGCUGGGGGACAGAAGAGGGUGUGGGGAAGGGCAACUUGCUUUCCCCAGGUGAAGGAGUAAGGAAAUGUUUCCUUCCCAACCUUCUUUCUAGACCAGCUAAUACUCCAGUUUCACCCUUUGGGCAAGUCAUUUAUCUGUCUGAGCCUGAACUUCCUCAUGUAUAUGAAAGAUGGAGAAGACCAUUGUAGAAAUUCAUGUUAUUAGUAUUCCAAGCAAAAGAGCUAAAGGUUGGUCUCUCAAAUUCCUACCCCUUUGAAGACCGAUGGAUAAGAUUCUUUAAGUUUGCUGCAGGUGAUUAACUAUGCAAGGGCUAAAGACAGCAGAACUCUUGCCAAAGUAGCGUGCCACGGUAAUUCUGCCAUGACCUAUGUAAGCAGAAAUGGGUGGAUAAAUAGUUGCAGACUAUCUACAGAUUUCCGUCUUCCAAGUCUUCCAGGCAGAGGCUACAAAAUAAAAUACCCUUAAGAGCCAGGCAGGUAAUGAGAAUGAGUGGUGCAUGCCGGGGGUUUGCAUAGUAAAUAUUAGCACUAUUCCUUGCUUCCACAAAGGCGCUUUCUGCACUUGCUGGUAAAACACACAGUCCUCUGGGUAUAUGUUUUGUUUUCUCACAUUUUGUAGAUUCAUGAGCACAGAGAAAUAUUUCUGCACUACAAGCAAAACACUAAAAUAUAGGCUGAAGUAGCAACAGUGGAAGGAGCCCUGGAGAAUUGGGAAGCAUGUACUCUACCCAAAGAGGACCUAAGCUGUGCAACUCCAGCUCACCGUUCAGGGAGGGGAGUAAUGUGGGCCCAGUGUAGCCAGAACCUCUACUUCUUUAUUUAAAAGAAGCUGGAAAUCCAGAUUUUUAAAAACGUAGAGUCUCCUGCUUUUGCUGUUUUUCUUUUUCUUCUUUUUCCCUUUUAAUGGUGCACAUGUAUUUUUUAAAACUUUGUGCACACGAAAUAAAACCCACCUCCUGGUGGCCUGUCUGCCUCUUACCUUCCACAUACCACACUGAAUUUUGAAGGGUUCUCGCUGAAUUGCUCCAAAUCUGACAUUCUGGGUAACCCUCCUCAUGCAGCUGGGAGCCUUUGGAAUCUUCACAACCAGGAGGGCUGUGUCUUUGACCUUGAUUUAGGCCUUGUGUCUUCAGGGCAUGCCAAGGGGCCGGUGCAGGCUGGACAGAGGUGUGAUCUCCUUUUCUCAGCAUAAUUUCCUUCCUGGGGUCUUCAUAUCGCCCUGAGGCAGGAGCUGGGGUGCUGGCUCCUUCUGAAGGUCGCUUUUCUGGCCUUUGCCUGGG